AUUUCAGUGUGUCCAAAGUCUGAAGAAGAAGCAGCCCAGGCAGUUGCAGAGUCUGUUGUGUGUCCAAAGUCUGAAGAGAAAGCAGUCCAGACGGUUGCAGAAUCUUUUGUGUGUCCAAAGUCUGAGAGAAAGCAGUCCAGACGGUUGCAGAAUCUUUUGAGUGUCCCAUGUGUAAAA
rnacentral:lncRNA from 1 species